rnacentral:rRNA from 1 species
GAUGAACGCUGGCGGCGUGCCUAAUACAUGCAAGUCGAGCGAACGGGCGAUAAUCGUGCUGCUCUGGUGUUACCGACGGACGGGUAAGUCGCAGGUGGUUUACCUACCUCUAAGACUUGAGUAACGGCGGCAAACCGGAGCUAUUACCGGAUAAUAGUUUGAACCGCAUGGUUCAAAAGUAAAAGACGGUAUUGCUGUCACUUAUAGAUGGAUCCGCGCUGCAUUAGCUAGUUGGUAAGGUAACGGCUUACCAAGGCAACGAUGCAUAGCCGACCAGAGCGGGUCGUCCGCCACACGGGAACUGAGACACGGUCCAGACGCCUCCGGGAGGCAGCCGAAGGGAAUCUUCCGCAAUGGGCGAAAGCCUGACGGAGCAACGCUGCGGGAGCGAUGAAGGUCUUCGGAUCGUAGACCUCUGGUAUUAGGGACGAACAUAUGUGUAAGUAACUGUGCACAUCUUGACGGUACUUAAACAGAAAGCCACGGCUAACUACGUG